rnacentral:rRNA from 1 species
GUCCACGCCGUAAACGAUGAUUACUCGUUGUUGGGCCGUAAGGUUCAGUGACUAAGCGAAAGCAAUAAGUAAUCCACCUGGGGAGUACGUUCGCAAGAAUGAAACUCAAAGGAAUUGACGGGGGCCCCGCACAAGCGGUGGAGCAUGUGGUUUAAUUCGAUGAUACGCGAGGAACCUUACCAAGGCUUAAAUGGGAAUUGACAGGUUUGGAAACAGACUUUUCUUAGGACAAUUUUCAAGGUGCUGCAUGGUUGUCGU